rnacentral:misc_RNA from 1 species
GGAAGUAAAAGUCGUAACAAAGUUUCCGUAGGUGAACCUGCGGAAGGAUCAUUAUUGUAUAACCGAGGUGCGAGGGCUGUCGCUGACCCGAAAGGUCGUGCACGCCCGAGUGCCCUCACACACAUCCAUCUCACCCCUAUGUGCACCACCGCGUGGGUCCCCCUUUGGCUUGUUCGGAGGGGGGCUUACGUUUUCACACAAACUUUGUAUGCAGUGUAGAAUGUAUUUUUUGUUUUUGCGAUCACGCAAUCAAUACAACUUCCAACAACGGAUCUCUUGGCUCUC